AUGAACGCUGGCGGCGUGCCUAAUACAUGCAAGUCGAGCGAACAGACGAGGAGCUUGCUCCUCUGACGUUAGCGGCGGACGGGUGAGUAACACGUGGAUAACCUACCUAUAAGACUGGGAUAACUUCGGGAAACCGGAGCUAAUACCGGAUAAUAUAUUGAACCGCAUGGUUCAAUAGUGAAAGACGGUUUUGCUGUCACUUAUAGAUGGAUCCGCGCCGCAUUAGCUAGUUGGUAAGGUAACGGCUUACCAAGGCAACGAUGCGUAGCCGACCUGAGAGGGUGAUCGGCCACACUGGAACUGAGACACGGUCCAGUCUCCUACGGGAGGCAGCAGUAGGGAAUCUUCCGCAAUGGGCGAAAGCCUGACGGAGCAACGCCGCGUGAGUGAUGAAGGUCUUCGGAUCGUAAAACUCUGUUAUUAGGGAAGAACAAAUGUGUAAGUAACUAUGCACGUCUUGACGGUACCUAAUCAGAAAGCCACGGCUAACUACGUG
rnacentral:rRNA from 1 species